GACGAACGCUGGCGGCGUGCUUAACACAUGCAAGUCGAACGGAAAGGCCCUGCUUUUGUGGGGUGCUCGAGUGGCGAACGGGUGAGUAACACGUGAGUAACCUGCCCUUGACUUUGGGAUAACUUCAGGAAACUGGGGCUAAUACCGGAUAGGAGCUCCUGCUGCAUGGUGGGGGUUGGAAAGUUUCGGCGGUUGGGGAUGGACUCGCGGCUUAUCAGCUUGUUGGUGGGGUAGUGGCUUACCAAGGCUUUGACGGGUAGCCGGCCGGAGAGGGUGACCGGCCAGAUUGAGAGUGAGUGACGGCGGGGGCACGUGCGGAGGGGAGGAGGGGGGUGGGAGGAGAAGGGGCGGAAGGCGAGUGCGGCCAAGCGGUGUGGGGGGUGGGAGGAAGCGGGUAGUAGACCAAUUGCGCCUGUGACGAGAGGAGAAGGAGAGGAAUGGGUAAAGAAGGAGAGGCUAACUACGUG
rnacentral:rRNA from 1 species